ensembl:lncRNA
GCUUAGUGGGACCGCCCUGAGAAGGGCCGGGUCAGCAGUGAAGACAGCCUCGGUCUGGCUCGGCUGCUCCGCCCACCGACGCCGCCAGCAGAGAGCAAAACUCUGCCUGGUCGCUUCCUGGAUCCUCACAACCGGUUACAAAGUGACUGGUUCCCUAAGGCUCCGCCCUUAUGAUGCAUUCCAAUCACAAAUGAAGUUUGUUGUUUCUUCUUCCGGAUCAAGGAACUAAUCGUGAAAUAAGAAUCUCUUGCCGCCUACGCAAAGAAAAUACUUCCGGGGUCAAUGAGGCUUGCAGCUUAAAGUUUGCCUUAAAUCUCAGAGGAGACUUUGGACUUGAAUUUUUCAGCUGCCACCCUGCCUUGGAACCAACUGAUUAUGGCAUGAAACCUCUACAAACUAAUUCAGCAGUGAAACUAUCAGGAC